CAUAAGUGGACUGGAGAAGCAGAGCCUUGAAAAACAAGUAAAGGCUAACAAUAGACAUGUUGAACAUUGAAUCCAGCCAAAGGCCAGACGAAGGCUGCAGGAGCUGAGGCCUUGGUGCUAAUUAGUCAGCCUCAGAUAUCUGGAACAGCAAAUGUGAAGCGGAGUGCAGAGAAUCCAGCCAAGAACUGUGAGACCAGGGAAUGGCCACACCUCGGGCCAGAAGGAGCCUGCGCCCCUGCACCAUCACAUGGAAUCUCUCCACCCAACCCAAAAGUGUGAUGUAGCACAAAACAAUGAAAUACAUCUAGAAUGUGCUUAUUUAGUCAGAUUUAUAAUAUUUUCUAAAAAUUAUUCUCCCUCUACCAAAUUGGAGAUGCUGAAAUUAUUGGUCUGGGAGGAUAUCUCCUUGGUAAUGGGUGGUUGCUUUGUCACUAAAUAAUAUGGAAUGCAUCACAGUGCUCCUCAAACUUGAAAGUGCCUGAGAGUCAUCUGGGGAUCUGGUUAAAAUGCAGAUGUUGAUUUAGUAAGUGGCCAUGACCCUGUUUUCCUAAGGAGUCCUAGUGAUACCUAUGCUGCUGGCCCAUGAACCACUGGGUAAGAAUCUCCUCCAAGAUUGUUGGAGAAGAGAAGUUCAUGUGACCAAGAGGACAGGUUGUUGGACCCCUGUAUUGAAAUGUAUUGAAAUCAAUAAGAAUAGAGAAAGUAGUAUAGGGGAGAACAAAUGAGCCAGGAGCUGAAAUAAUCAAACAAUGAGCUGGGAGUAGAGAAUAGCUACCAGGAGAGUGGAAGGAAGUGCAGAGGAUUUUUAACCAGGGAGGAGGGUAAAUGGUAUGGAAGCAGUGUUUGUGGGCAAGGGCAAAAUCAUUCAGCCUCCAGGCCCAAGGGUUGGAAGAAUGAGGGAAAAGCAUCACUGGUGCAGAACCAGGUUGCCUAGGCAGUGGUGUCUCAGGGAUCCAGGGGAAGGGAAGGUUCAGGACGGAGAGAAGGGACUUGGCUAGAGGAUUGUGAAGACAAAGGGCACAUGGAGGAGUCUUGAAAUGGGAAGAUGGAGACAGAAUGAGGGAUGUGUGAAGCCUAAUGGGGGGCAGAGAGUGGGAGGAGAAAGGUAAUCUGAGAAUUUGGAUUUCCUAUGGCCACAGACACAGACAGGGAUAAAAAAGCAAGAUGCAGUUAGUCCUCAGGAACCCAGGGCAGAGGGUGGUAAUGAGGGGCAGGGAGUGGUGUGUGCAUGGGACUGUCUCGACUCCUGAUGGUGGAGACAGGGAGGUCUGGGUAAGCGUGAAUGGCAUUUGUCCCGCUCCAAGGUUCUUCUUGAACUCAGGCUCCUUUUUAGCUCCUGUGGAUAGAAGAAAGAAUGCCUGCUAGGCGUCAGGUCUAAUAGUUGAGAUUAACACGGUGUCACAUUCUCAGGAAGCUCAGUUUACCCAUGGAGGAAAAGCAUACCUCUAAGUAUAAUAUGCCUAUUAUAAUAUGCAGUCUUCAUUUAAAAGUUUGCUCUGGGUUCAUUAUAGAAAGCCGAGUCUGUGCUCUUGGCAUUCUUUGCAUGACUGGGAGGCUGUGCACAAGUUCCACCUACCAGGUGAGCCUUAGCUAAUUCCCUUAGCCGUGGUGAUGCUUUGCUUCUCACUAAGCAGUCCAUGGGCCAGCAGCAUGGGUAUCAGCAGGACUCCUUAGAAAGGCAGGAUCUUGGCCACUUACUGAAUCAGUAUCCCCAAGUGAUUCUCAGGCACUUUAAAGUCUGAGAAGCACUGUGAUGCGUUCCAUAAUAUUAGUAGGAACAAAGCAGGUGCCUCCAAGAAGAAAAACAGCAAGUCUAAGAAGAAGCCUGAGGAAGGAUUACAUGUUACUCAUCAACCUUCAAAUCCCAAAUUCAAUGCAGUUUUUUUCCAGCCCUGGCAGCAUCCUGGAUUCAUGUGAACUUCAUUAAAAAAUAAAACAAACAAAGUUCUAACUUG